UACGAAGGGGGCUAGCGUUGUUCGGAAUUACUGGGCGUAAAGCGUACGUAGGCGGCUUGUUAAGUGAGGGGUGAAAUCCCGAGGCUCAACCUCGGAACUGCCUUUCAUACUGGCAAUCUUGAGUCCGGGAGAGGUGAGUGGAACUCCUAGUGUAGAGGUGAAAUUCGUAGAUAUUAGGAAGAACACCAGUGGCGAAGGCGGCUCACUGGCCCGGAACUGACGCUGAGGUACGAAAGCGUGGGGAGCAAACAGG
rnacentral:rRNA from 1 species